CUGGAGCAGCCCCGACUAGUCUAUGCCUCAUCCAUAGGAUCGAUCCAAUGAAAAAGAAAAAAAAUCAGCGAUCGAUCGUCAUCGACACGAGCGAAGCGACGAGGUGUCUCUUCGUCUAUUCGUCUGGCACUGGCGGCAGGAUUCAAGAGGACAGGAGCAGCAUGAACGGCCGGACAACAGCAGAAGGGAGGACCUGAACUGAAUCACCUGAAAGGCAAGGAAAGUUCAGGCCAAUCUCCCGAUCUUCGUUUUUUAAGCGUCGUCGCGUCAAUACCUAGCAAUCCUGACAUCCUGUGUCUAGUAUUGCAAGAUCCAAGUCAUGUCUGCAUUUAGAAAACAUGAAUCUGGUUACAAAAAGCGUUUGAAGAAACAAAAAAAGAGGAUUUAACUCUGUCUCAAAAAGGAGAUAUGGAUAAUUUUGUCAUAAGAAUAC